ensembl:lncRNA
UUUAAAAUCACUGAUUAGUCGCCUGCUUGGAAAAAGCGUUGGUAGAGUUAUUGACAGCACUCUGGGAGCACAUCUUUAGCAAAUCACAAUUUUGAAUGAAACUCUGUUGUGUUUGAUUUGUAGUUGAAUAUUAACAGAUCUGCCAAUUCUAGAAGAUUGUGCUGCUAGAGCAGCUUUGUCAUUGUUUAGGAAGCUCAGUGAAGCAAUAACAUCCCAUAAAAAAAAAUCAAAAUCAGCUGUCAGCACAGUUUGAUUGUCCUUUGGCACCCAAACACACCCGUGUCUUACUGUUCAUGCUCAAGGUUUAUAUAAUAUUUAUAUAAUAUUAAACUACAAAUGCAGUACUGUGGAAAUAUUUCAAGCACUAAAAGUAAACGGAAUAGUGUGAAGAAUAAUGCUAUGAAUAGUUUUUAUUUAUCUGCACAGUAUGUUUAAAAAAAAAAAAAAACACCUGUUAUUGGCUCAGGCCUGCAUCAACUGUUAUGGGCCAAAAGGGAGGUUUACACCCUUCACAGGUCACCAGUCUAUUGUUGGGCUAAAACAGACAGGGCAGGGAAUCAUUCACUCUCACAUUUACACCUAUUGCCAUUUUGCCAAUUAAUCUAACACAUGCGUGUGUUUGGACUGGGAGGAAGCCAAAAUACCCCGAGGCAUGAGGAGAACAUCCAAAUUCCCAUCAGAAAGGUCUCCAGCUUGUGGAUUCAAACUCAAGAUCUUCUCGCUGUGAGCACCAGCACUGCAUCCCUGUGCUGGCUCAUGCAUACCUUACAUUUCUGUCUCAUUCUUAAUUUGUACUAAAUGCCAAUUUCAUAUGUCAAAAAGUACACAGAGAGACAUCAAACUGAAUGACUCUUGGAAAUUGUGAUAACAUUAUCUUUGUUAUAUAACUAAAUGACACGUAUAGAAAUGAAGUACAAAUCCAACUAAAAAAUAGUAAUAGUUUAAAUAUUGGAAGCACAGCAGUAGCUGUUUCAAAGUAUUUAUACUUGUUAAAUUUGAGAAUCUUUUCCAUAUAUUGAAUUGUAAAUUUAGCAGAGGCUGUUAAUAGUUUUAUAACUCUUUCAGUGUUCAAAAUAACAUAAUUCUGACUGGAAAAUAAAGAAAUACCUCCAAAAAACAAAAGAAAAACACUUCCAAAAUAAAAACGGUAUGAGUGUAUAUAUAAUGAGCACAGAAUAACCUUUAAACAAUACCACUGCUGAGUUUCUAAUUCAUUAAUUAGAAAACUCAAAUUUUUUUAAUUAGAAACUUCUAAUUUAUCCCCUCCCAAUGCAGACGGUGGAUCACAGGGGACCAGCGCAUAUGCUGCAGGCCCGUAUGCGCUGUCUACACUGGCUGUCUCUCACCUUUUACCCAUCCCUGUUGCUUGUCAUGUGGUUUCUAUGACGUAUUAAGAGUUUUUCAUGUGCUGUGCGCUAAGGUGUUUUGUUUUUUUUUCUGUUCCCAAACUGAUCUCCCUGUUGGAGCUCAGUCUGGGGGGAGUUCUUUUUUUCUCCUUGUCUUUCCUGAUGUUGUGCAUUUUUCCAUUGUUCGGUUCCGGGUCGCUGCUCAUGUGGCUGACCGGCCAGCUACCUGGCCUGACCUGUCUCCCCAAUGUGAUGUUUGUGUAUUGUAUGUACGGUCGGCAAGGUCAGUCUCUUAAUUGCCCCUUGGGGAUAAAUAAAGUCUUCUGAAUCUGAAUCUAAAUUAAUGGGAACUGAAUUCCAGAAAGGCUAUGAGAGGGACAGAAUCCGUGAAAUAUUAAGUAAGAGAGACAGAUGGAGAGAUUAAAAAACAUGUCCUUCCUUCACACACCCCAGACCCACAUUACCUUCUUUUUCUACAUGGGUCAUUUGCAAAAUUACCUAACCCAAGGAUGGUGGAAUGGUCAGAAGUAAAAAGAGGAGGAUUUUUAUUUAUUUUUUUUACAUUUCAAUAUCAGUGCACACCAAGGCCUCUCACCACGCCAUUUAAAGCUACUGGAAAAUGUCAGUCAAUAGAGGCCUUAAAUGGCAGCACAUAAAGGCAGUUUGAAAUAAUUUAUAUGUAAUUUACUGUAUUCAGUGCCUCUCUGUCUGCUAGAAAUUACAUGAACUCUUUCCUCCAUCACAUGGUGGUUGCAUAUGGAUUAUGUUCAAUGGAAAUUUUUAUUUUUUUGGACAAAUGAAACAUUACUUUUAUAAAGUGAAAUCACCAAAGGGUUUUUGGAAUGGAUGGCAAUUAUAUAGGUUGGCAUCAAGACUCAUGUGAAUAGUUAAUGGUCAGGUAACAAAAGCCCUUUGCUAAUGGUGAGGGAUUUUUGUUACAUAUAUAUUAACAAGUCACUUUUGACCUCUUCUACAUUUAAGCAGACUGCAGUCU